AUCGUACCCCAAACCGACACAGGUGGUCAGGUAGAGAAUACCAAGGCGCUUGAGAGAACUCGGGUGAAGGAACUAGGCAAAAUGGUGCCGUAACUUCGGGAGAAGGCACGCUGAUAGGUAGGUGAAGCCCCUGCGGGCGGAGCUGAAAUCAGUCGAAGAUACCAGCUGGCUGCAACUGUUUAUUAAAAACACAGCACUGUGCAAACACGAAAGUGGACGUAUACGGUGUGACGCCUGCCCGGUGCCGGAAGGUUAAUUGAUGGG
rnacentral:rRNA from 3 species